rnacentral:rRNA from 1 species
AACGAACGCUGGCGGCAUGCCUAACACAUGCAAGUCGAACGAGACCUUCGGGUCUAGUGGCGCACGUGUGCGUAACGCGUGGGAACCUGCCUUUAGGUUCGGAAUAACUCAGAGAAAUUUGAGCUAAUACCGGAUGAUGUCUUCGAACCAAAGAUUUAUCGCCUUUAGAUGGGCCCGCGUUGGAUUAGCUAGUUGGUGGGGUAAAGGCCUACCAAGGCGACGUUCCAUAGCUGGUCUGAGAGGAUGACCCGCCACACUGGGACUGGGACACGGCCCAGACUCCUACGGGAGGCAGCAGUGGGGAAUAUUGGACAAUGGGCGAAAGCCUGAUCCAGCCAUGCCGCGUGAGUGAUGAAGUACUGAGGGUUGUAAAGCUCUUUUACCCGAGAUGAUAAUGACAGUAUCGGGAGAAUAAGCGCCGGCUAACUCCGUG